rnacentral:other from 1 species
AACGCCUGGCCUUGCUCGCCUCACCGCCGGCUAUAUAAUAGUCGUCCAGCUCCGGCCAAGACCCCUACCCCCAAGCAGAGCGAACAGGUUGAGAUCUGGAGAGAGAAGAGACUACAGAUACAUACUGAGAGAAAAUGCCUGCGCUUACUGGUCAGGUGAAGUGGUUCAACGAAUCCAAGGGGUUCGGCUUCAUCACCCCCUCGGACGGCAGCAAUGAUGUCUUCGUCCACUUCUCGGCAAUCACUGGCCCCGGCUUCAAGACCCUCGCCGAGGGCCAGAAUGUCGAAUUCACCAUCGAAAACGGCACAAAAGGCCCGACCGCCGCCAAUGUCAAGGCCAUAUAGGAGGAGAAGCAAUAUCGGCAUCCUUUUGUAAUUUGCUCC